GGGAGGUAGUGACAAUAAAUAACAAUACAGGGCCUUUCAGGUCUUGUAAUUGGAAUGAGUACAAUUUAAAUCUCUUAACGAGGAACAAUUGGAGGGCAAGUCUGGUGCCAGCAGCCGCGGUAAUUCCAGCUCCAAUAGCGUAUAUUAAAGUUGUUGCAGUUAAAAAGCUCGUAGUUGAAUUUUAGGCCUGGCCGGGCGGUCCGUCUUUGGCGAGUACUGUCCUGUGUCGGGUCCACCUUCUGGUGAACCAGUAUGUCCUUUAUUGGGUGUGCCGGGGAGCCAGGACCAUUACCUUGAAAAAAUUAGAGUGUUUAAAGCAGGCAUUUGCUUGAAUAGAUUAGCAUGGAAUAAUAGAAUAGGACGUUGUGGUUCUAUUUUGUUGGUUUCUAGGACCACCGUAAUGAUUAAUAGGGAUAGUUGGG
rnacentral:rRNA from 1 species